GCUGGCUGAACUGAUGGCAAGUCACAGCUGUGCUAUUUCCGUAAAAUGCCUAAGAUUCUCCAUCUGUAACAAAGGAAUAAGUCUAGCUUUUAUGGUAGGAAUAAAGAACUGGAGUCCAAGAGGAAGCAUGGAUGGAGGGCCAUUUAAAGUACCCAUUUGGAAACCUGAAGGACCACGUAUGUCUUAAAUAACACUUCCUUCUGUAGACUUAAGGUUGACAGCUGCACACUAAGGAGAUAGGCUUACAGUGGAAUUACAACAAGGUGACAACAGACAGCAGAUGACCAGUUACGGGAAAGAAGCAGUAAAAUUUAGAAGACCUUAUUGUAGCUACAGAGCUGUGAAAGAGCUCAUAACUUAUUA